CUGCGCGGAAAGGAAUCGACAGCGAACAAGCAUUACCUUAUUCCGGAAAUGCAACACCAGGAAAAUCCCUAACGGGGAUGCAACAAAUCGAACAGGUUUCUUACUCUUUGCCAACCCCGCCAUUAGGCAAAAUGGAAAAGGCAGUGAUAACAUGCUGGCGAGGUCCUGGAUAGCUCUCAGACUGAAGAGAGAAAGAGAUAAAUUAUUCAAGGAACUGAUUAGCCUAGAAGCAGCCAAGGCGGAAAGCUGAUCAAUUCACUUUGCCACUCGCGAACGAAUAUGAUGCUUUAGAAAAGCAGACUGAAGACACGAAGAAAGCUGACUGGUUCUCUCAGUGCACAUUGAGGAGGUGCGGAAAAGAAUUCCGCCGUGUCUGUAAGCAUGUUUUCAGCGGCAUAUGUGACUUGAAUCCUAAUACUUAUGAGUGGCAGCUUAGGAUGCAGCGCACACAGCGCUGUGCGAGUCUCGUCUGGCACAGAGAGCGUUUUCCCCUGUCGUCCAGUUCUUUCUUGCACCAUGCUUUGGGAGGCAGUGCCUUCUUUUUGUGUGUCUACGCUGGUGUGCACUACGUGCUCAACACGUCUGCCCACCACUGCAGUCAGCAGCAACGGUGAACACCGAGUGGUCUUCGCAGACGACGACCAGCCGGUUGGUGUGAGCGGCACCGUGAAAGCGGCACCCAGGUCUGGACACACUGGGAAGCCCCGAGCGUCGUCGCAACCGGCCUCCGCCCACGUCCUCGCUCCCAAGGUCGUCGGCCGGCGAAGUGUUUCGUUACUACCUCGGCAACGGCCAUGCCACUGCAGACGCCGCUCGCGUACGUAGCCAUUCCGCAGCACACCUAGCUUGGCGCUCAAGUUCCCAUUCUACACGCCUUCGGUGCCGUUCUUCCCGCUUCCGCGAAACGUAGGGCCCUUUUAUCAGCUGGCAGUUUCAAUCGCGACAACAGUCGCUGUUUCCCUUCAACUAGUACAGCGCUUGUUCACACGGCCUCUUUGCAUUGUACGCGAUUCUGUUUUUCGCUCCUGCCAAACGCCUCCUGUAUACUAAAUACUUGUAAUAUGCCCCAACCUUUAAUAAGAAAAUUCUGAUCCUGAAAAAAAAAAACACAUCUCAGUGUCCUAUGCGAGAUUAGAACUUUCCUUCAAUUAGAUACCCUCGUCUGUAACAAAGCGAAGUAUUGCAGGCGUGGUGAACAUGGCUGUUGCUGCCGCUGUCUUGUCCAAUAGCUGACACUGAAAGCGAGGCGGCUUAUAUCUACGCUAGCCAUAGAAUGGGCUCGCUCUAUUCGUUACGUAGUUACGUAGUGAAAACAUAAUGCGGAUCCCACGCACUGUGGAAAUCGAUGUCUUUCUGUGCUGUUUGCAUUGAUUGUCGAUAAUGGGCGGGGAUGUUUACGGCGAACAUUUGAUUUCUUAAGCAUUUAGUGCAAUGCGAGAGUGGCGAUGUCCCUUUAAAACAUUACCUGGGGUGUGUACCAUUUGUGUGUGCUAUGGUAGUACACAUAGCGCGACUCGUUUGCUUGGGGCAUUGUUGUACGCCCUUGUUCAGAGCCUUCCAGAUUAGCCCUGUCAUGCCUCACACGGCGCAUGGUAUCGUGGCAUAACUUGAGUUUAAUCAUACGCCUUUACUUGCCAAACCCACAUUAU